GAUGAACGCUGGCGGCGUGCCUAAUACAUGCAAGUCGAGCGAAUGGAUUAAGAGCUUGCUCUUAUGAAGUUAGCUGCGGACGGGUGAGUAACACGUGGGUAACCUGCCCAUAAGACUGGGAUAACUCCGGGAAACCGGGGCUAAUACCGGAUAACAUUUUGAACCGCAUGGUUCGAAAUUGAAAGGCGGCUUCGGCUGUCCCUUAUUGAUGGACCCGCGUCGCAUUAGCUAGUUGGUGAGGUAACGGCUCACCAAGGCAACGAUGCGUAGCCGACCUGAGAGGGUGAUCGGCCACACUGGGACUGAGACACGGCCCAGACUCCUACGGGAGGCAGCAGUAGGGAAUCUUCCGCAAUGGACGAAAGUCUGACGGAGCAACGCCGCGUGAGUGAUGAAGGCUUUCGGGUCGUAAAACUCUGUUGUUAGGGAAGAACAAGUGCUAGUUGAAUAAGCUGGCACCUUGACGGUACCUAACCAGAAAGCCACGGCUAACUACGUGCCAGCCGCCGCCGUAA
rnacentral:rRNA from 1 species